rnacentral:rRNA from 1 species
CGCGUAGGCGGUUUGCACAGUCAGGCGUGAAAUUCCCGGGCUUAACCUGGGGGCUGCGUUUGAUACUCGCAGACUAGAGGAUGGAAGAGGGUCGUGGAAUUCCCAGUGUAGAGGUGAAAUUCGUAGAUAUUGGAAAGAACACCGGUGGCGAAGGCGGCGACCUGGUCCAUUACUGACGCUGAGGCGCGACAGCGUGGGGAGCAAACA